rnacentral:rRNA from 1 species
CCUACGGGAGGCAGCAGUGGGGAAUAUUGCACAAUGGGGGCAACCCUGAUGCAGCGACGCCGCGUGCGUGAAGAAGUACUUCGUUAUGUAAAGCUCUAUCAGCAGGGAAGAAAAUGACGGUACCUGAGUCAGAAGCCCCGGCUAACUACGUGCCAGCAGCCGCGGUAAUACGUAGGGGGCAAGCGUUAUCCGGAUUUACUGGGUGUAAAGGGAGCGUAGACGGCAGUGUAAGUCUGGAGUGAAAGGCGGGGGCUCAACCCCCGGACUGCUCUGGAAACUGUACGGCUGGAGUGCAGGAGAGGUAAGUGGAAUUCCUGGUGUAGCGGUGAAAUGCGUAGAUAUUAGGCGGAACACCGGUGGCGAAGGCGGCUUACUGGACUGUAACUGACGUUGAGGCUCGAAAGCGUGGGGAGCAAACAGGAUUAGAUACCCCUGUAGUC